UACGGGGGGGGCAAGCGUUGUUCGGAAUUACUGGGCGUAAAGGGCUCGUAGGCGGCCAACUAAGUCAGACGUGAAAUCCCUCGGCUUAACCGGGGAACUGCGUCUGAUACUGGAUGGCUUGAGGUUGGGAGAGGGAUGCGGAAUUCCAGGUGUAGCGGUGAAAUGCGUAGAUAUCUGGAGGAACACCGGUGGCGAAGGCGGCCAACUGGACUGGUAUUGACGCUGAGGCGCGAAAGCUAGGGGAGCAAACGGG
rnacentral:rRNA from 1 species